AGCAAUGGGAGUAUAAAAGAGAAGUGAGUUUGGAGAAAUUUAAGGGGAGGUCACAGAAAAUCCAACAAUGGGAGAGCUUUAGUGCGAUAUUUAUGGAGCACUUCCCGAGGGUUGAUGGGCAUGGAGACGGUGUCCAAGGAUGGGAGACAUAGAUGAAUGGUUACGUCUCUCAGGGAACCAUUAAAACAAAUGUAUUAAAGGAGGAGGCGAAGGGAUUGGCUUCAAAUGAGCAAAUUUUUUAGCUCAACCUCUAUCAAAUUAAUCAUAAGAAUGACAGCGGGUUAACAAACACAACGAAAAGGGGUUUGGGAUUCAGGAAAAGUCACAAAGUACAGCUUCAGCUAAGGUACCAACAAGUCUUAACUCUUCUUCUAAUAUUUUACCGUCUCCUGUAAAGAGGAUUAUGGAUCCUCCUAGAAGAUAUGGAACACCUCCAAGACGGUAGCAUAGAAGGAGUCAAGAUAAUCCUUUAUUAUUAAUUUUUCGAAGAGCUCAUGAUAUCGAAAUCACUUCCUUGAUUUAUUACUUUUUUUUUUUAAUGAAUAUUCUCUGUCAGAGUUGGGAUUAUUAUUCCUGUCAGAUUAGUUGUUUUUCUCUAAAGAAUCCUCAUUUUCACAUGUGGGAGUAAAUUAUCCUAAAAAGCUAUGGAUAAGGAAGGGGCAGAGCUGUUGCUCUCCGGAGCUAUUGAGACAGUAACUAAUUAUGAUAUGUCUCCGUUCUUCAUUUCAGGAAUUUUUGCUCUUCCUAAGAAAGAUAACUCUCAUUGGAGGUUAAUAGUAAAUCUCAAGAUUUCGAUGGAAUAAUGAUAUUUAUCAAUUUAAUGUUUGAUGUUUCGGUUUGACUUCAGAACUGAGAAUUAUUGACAAAGCCUUUGAAACCUGUGGUUUCAUACCUUUUUAUGAUAACAGGAAUUUGCAUGUACUAGGUCAUGAUUAAUAAUAAUGAAAGGAGAUCUAUAAAAA
rnacentral:lncRNA from 1 species